rnacentral:tRNA from 1 species
GAGCCAUUAGCUCAGUUGGUAGAGCAUCUGACUUUUAAUCAGAGGGUCGAAGGUUCGAAUCCUUCAAUGGCUCACCA